CAGGUGAGAAAUCUGCAGUGAAGAAAGGUACAUCCCAAGGGGACACCGACAGCUGAGGGAGAGAAGAUCUGAGUCAGAGAGGAGUUCUGGAGAAACCAAGCGCAUCCCCCUCAACAUGAACUCCAGUCAAGAUUGGUCAGGUGCAGUGGCUUAUGCCUGUAAUCCCAGCUGAGGCAGGAGGAUCGCUUGAGCCCAGGAGUUUGAGACCAGCCUCGGUAACACACCCACAUCUUCCAUCAGAGGAUCCCACGAAAACAGUGCCAAAGAGAAUUCAGAACUACGUCCACUGGUCCAGUAACCCAUGGUUCCCACAGCAGGUGUCUCCCUCAACCCAACCUGGACGGGGGGCCACCUGGAUUGACAUUCGUCAUCUCUUCCACUGGACCGUGAGCUCCUUGAGGGCAGAUAAGAAAACUGAGGCUCAGAACGGGAAGUUCAUUGCUCAUCAUCAAACAUCCAGGAAAUGGUGGAGCCUGAAUGGGAACUCAGCUUCCAACAUGGCGUGGAUGUGGCCCAUCCCUUGGUGGCCUGGCUGGGUCUAUCUUAUGACAGUACGAGAUUGAAUGUUGGAGUGCCUUGCAGAAGAGAGAGAAAAUGUUGCUAAAACUUCAGGGGAAUGACUGGU
rnacentral:lncRNA from 1 species